GACGAACGCUGGCGGCGUGCCUAACACAUGCAAGUCGAACGAACCCUUCGGGGUGAGUGGCGCACGGGUGCGUAAAGCGUUGGAACCUGCCCUUAGGUUCGGAAUAACAGUUAGAAAUGACUGCUAAUACCGGAUAAUGUCCUCGGACCAAAGAUUUAUCGCCCUUGGAUGGGCCCGGGUUGGAUUAGCUAGUUGGUGGGGUAAAGGCCUACCAAGGCGACGAUCCAUAGCUGGUCUGAGAGGAUGAUCAGCCACACUGGGGCUGAGACACGGCCCAGACUCCUACGGGAAGCAGCAGUGGGGAAUAUUGGACAAUGGGCGUAAGCCUGAUCCAGCAAUGCCGCGUGAGUGAUGUAGGCCUUAGGGUUGUAAAGCACUUUUUGGAAGGAAUAGGAAGGAAGGUACUUCCAGAAUAAGUCUCGGCUAACUACAUGCCAGCCGCCGCGGUAAUAC
rnacentral:rRNA from 1 species